rnacentral:lncRNA from 1 species
AUGCAUCCCAAAACAUGUACUUGCUUGCAUCUUUGCAUGUCAUUAGAUUCAUUUUAUUGCAUAAGUAGCUCAUCUCAAUUGUUCCAGUGGAACAACAUGCCUUCUCUACCUCCUCAAUUCCUACAAAUUAUAUACACCAUACUAUCAAUGUCAUGAUCUAUGAAGCACGGACACGGAUACCGGACACCGACACGUCGACACAGAUAAUAAUAUGAGAAAGGCUAAAAUAUGGUUUUAGUCCCUGCAAAUAUGCCUCGUUUUGGUUUUAGUCCCUGUAAAAAAAAAUUUGUUUUUGGUCCUGCAAAAUUUUUUGUUUUUGAAAAUAGUCCCUAGGGACUAUUUUCAAAAACAAAAAAUUUUGCAGGGACCUUUUAAUUUUUAAAAACAAAAUAUUUUGCAGGGACCAAAAACUACAAAAUUGGUUCAGUUAUAAUGUGCCACGUAUGCAAAUCAUCACAAAAGUGGGAUCAGGGACUAUUUUCAAAAACAAAAAAUUUUGCAGGGGCCAAAAACAAUUUUUUUUUACAGGGACUAAAACCAAAACGAGACAUAUUUGCAGGGACUAAAACCAUAUUUUAGCCUAUGAGAAAAUGAUAUAAUUUAGUAUAAUUAUAUGUGUCGUGUCGGUGUCGACACCGAUGCGUAUCCGACACGGGAUACGCCUAAUCCAAGAAGUGUCUGUGCUUCGUAGGUCAUGAUUUUUAUGUGUUUUUUUUACUAAUUUACAAAUAAAGAAAGCAUACCAUAGAAGGAAGGUCUUGUAAUGAUAUCAUUGAAAAGGUCAUAUACAUUUGCUGACAAGGCCUUCAAUUGUGGAAGCUCCUUAUUUAACUUUGAUAUCAUAUUCUCCAAUUUGACAUUAAAUUCCAAAGCCACUAUAUUGUAUUUUUCAUAGCAACGAUGAAAGCCACCAAAAAUAUUUAUAGCCCUUUCUAAUGGAAGACACCCCAUAGGAAUAAGACCAGUUAUGGCUAAUUUCCUAGCACCAAGUGAGUAUAAUUGCCUAAUGAAAUUCUCAGCAAUACCAAUUAAAUAAUCUUGAUAUUGUGAUAUUGUGUAACGGAAUCUUAGUGUUGUGAAACCAUAGUAGUUUCCAAGGAAAUCAUUGGUUCCUAAACUUAUUAUGUAUAAUGCUUCACUUAUGAUUUCAAUUGAUUUCUCUUCACCUAUAUGGGCUUUCAAUUUGUCUUGAUAUUCUUUGUAGAAUUCUACUUCCUUCCAUAGUGGUAUCACAUUCUGUGAGAUGUUGUCAACCCAUGUAAUUAGUUUGUUUCAUGUUAUGAAUUUGUAUACAUGAUCAUUGAAUAAUAUAUUUUAUAAAAGAAUGUUUCAUAGACCAUAAUUAAACACUUACUAGUAUAGCAGAAGUUGCAUUAUCAUAUCCAGUUCCAGCAGAGGCAAAGCAAACACCAGUGACAAAAUCAUCAAUAGUAUAAGCAGGAUCCAAAUAUGCUGGUAUAAGACUCUUAAUACCAAAAGCCUCAGAAAUGAAAUCUGGUGGAAUACGGCCGUUUGAAAAUCGUCCGGUGGGGCGGCCACCAUCGAUGUCACGACCGUAAGGUCUAAAAUUGCUCUUUAGAAAUGUUGAUAUCAUAUUGUUGUUUCCAGAAUCAACAGAGGAGUCACCAAACACAAUUACUGCUGGUACAUAAUUUUCAUUAUUGCAAGUCACCAUGAUCAUUUGAGUUAUCAAUAUUAGCCAUACGAUGCAUAUGUUCCCCAUAAUAAUAAGAUUAUGUAAUUAUUUGGUUUUAAUUCUUUUGGAGAAGUUUUAUAUAUGUAUCGGGUCAGUCCAAUAAUUUUUAAAAAUAAAUGAGAG